UGCCAGCAGCCGCGGUAACACGAACCGUACGAACGUUAUUCGGAAUCACUGGGCUUAAAGAGUGCGUAGGCGGCCUGGCAGGUUGGGUGUGAAAUCCCUCGGCUCAACCGAGGAACUGCGCUCAAAACCGCCAGGCUUGAGGAAGAUAGGGGUGAGCGGAACUAAUGGUGGAGCGGUGAAAUGCGUUGAUAUCAUUAGGAACACCGGAGGCGAAAGCGGUUCACUGGGUCUUUUCUGACGCUGAGGCACGAAAGCUAGGGGAGCGAACGGGAUUAGAUA
rnacentral:rRNA from 1 species